CAUGGCAACAUGAUGCUUCUCCAGCCGCGCUCAGCUGCCCAGGUAAAUACGUGGAGGAAGGAGAGGGAACAAAGAAAAGGGAAUGGCACGUUCUGAUAAGAAGCCAAAGCCAACCACGGGCAGAAAUACCGACAGCGAGGCAGAGAGGGAAGGCGGCUCACUGCCCCGUCUCCCCGCAGCUGCCCCAGAGCCCACAGGGGAACUGGGAUACAGGCGGACAGAAAUCGACGGCAACCCCUUCUCGACCUCAGCCAACACACUGUUCCCUACACGCGCGCAGAAGGAAAAGCAAGUUUGGAUGAUCUGUGAAGACGACAGAUUUCACCUGCGGAGCAGAAAGGCCUUCUGAGCCCUUGGCAAAGUGGAGGCCUUCGACGAACUGAACUUCUGAUGUUCUUUGAAGUGGUGAGAAUCGCACCUGAUCCGGAGAUAAGCAACAGAUGAAUGGCACAAAAACAGACACUCGGAUCAAUGGAACAGAAUAGAGAACCCAGAAAUGGACCCACAAACGUAUGGCCAACUAAUCUUUGACAAAGCAGGAAAGAAUAUCCAAUGGAAUAAAGACAGUCUCUUCAGCAAAUGGUGCUGGGAAAACUGGACAGCGACAUGCAGAAGAAUGAACCUGGACCACUUUCCUACCCCAUACACAAAAAUAAACACAAAAUGGAUGAAAGACCUAAAUGUAAGACAGGAAGCCAUCAAAAUCCUCAAGGAGAAAGCAGGCAAGAGCCUCUUGGACCUUGGCCUCAGCAACUUCUUACUCAACAUGUCUCCAGAGGCAAGGAAAGCAAAAGCAAAAAAGGAACAAUUGGGACCUCAUCAAAAUAAAAAGCUUCUGGGGGCACCUGGGUGGCUCAGUUGGUUAAGCGACCGACUUCGGCUCAGGUCAUGAUCUCGCAGUUUGGAAGUUUGAGCCCCGUGUCAGGCUCUGUGCUGACAGCUCAGAGCCUGGAGCCUGCUUCAGAUUCUGUAUCUCCCUCUCUCUCUGCCCCUCCCCUGCUCACACUCUGUGUCUCUCUGUCUCUCAAUAAUAAAUAAAUGUUAAAAAUUUUUUUAAUAAAAUUAAAAAAAAUAAAAAGCUUCUGCACAGCAAAGGAAACAAUCAGCACAACUAAAAGGCAACCGAUGGAAUGAGAGAAGAUAUUUGCAAACGACAUGUCAGAUAAAGGGUUAGUAUCCAAAAUCUAUAAAGAGCUUACCAAACUCAACACCCAAAAAACAAAUGAUCCAGUGAAGAAAUGGGCAAAAGACAUGCAUAGACACUUCUCCAAAGAAGACAUCCAGAUGGCCAACCGACCCAUGAAAAAAUGCUCAACGUCACUCAUCAUCAGGGAAAUACAAAUCAAAGCCACACUGAGAUACCACCUCACACCUGUCAGAAUGGCUCACAUGAACAACUCAGGCAACAACAGAUGUCGGCGAGGAUGCGGAGAAAGAGGAUCUCUUUUGCAUUGUUGGUGGCAAGGCAAGCUGGUGCAGCCACUCUGGAAAACAGUAUGGAGGCUCCUCAAAAAACUAAAA